rnacentral:tRNA from 1 species
GAGGGUAUAGCUCAGUGUUAGAGUGCUUGCCUACCAUGCACAAGGUCGUGGGUUCAAUCCCCAGUACUUCCU